GGCUGGUCUGAAUGCAAUGGUAUUUACAACUAGUUUGUAAGACUGUAAUGAGCCAAACACCAGUUACAGAUUUCUUUGUUCCUUCUCCACUCUACUGCUCACUUGACUUGCCUAAA
ensembl:misc_RNA Y_RNA Y RNA